rnacentral:rRNA from 1 species
AACUUACAUCUACAAACGCCGGGGAAUUACGAGCUACGCUUAAAACCCAAAGGAUUUGACGGUGUCCCACCCCCCUAGAGGAGCCUGUUCUAUAAUCGAUAAUACCCGCUAUACCCAACCACCUCUCGCUAUUCAGUCUGUAUACCUCCGUCGAAAGCUUACCAUGUGAACGCCUACAGUAAGUACAAUGGCUACCAACGUCAACACGUCAGGUCAAGGUGCAGCUUAAGUGGUGGAAAGUAAUUGGCUACAAUUUCUAACCUAGAACAAACGGAAGGCUAUGUGAAACCAUAGUUCUGAAGGCGGAUUUAGUAGUAAAAAGAAAAUAGAGCGU